CCUACGGGGGGCUGCAGUGGGGAAUAUUGGACAAUGGGGGAAACCCUGAUCCAGCAAUGCCGCGUGUGUGAAGAAGGCCUGCGGGUUGUAAAGCACUUUCGGUUGGGAAGAAAAGUUUGGCGCCAAUACCGCCGAACCUUGACGUUACUGACAGAAGAAGCACCGGCUAACUCUGUGCCAGCAGCCGCGGGAAUACAGAGGGUGCAAUCGGUGAUCGGAAUGCGUAGGCGGUCAGCGUGCGUGGGUGGUAAAUCCCCGGGCUUAACUUGGGAACUGCAUUCGAUACUACAUGGCUAGAGUAUGGUAGAGGGAAGUGGAAUUUCCGGUGUAGCGGUGAAAUGCGUAGAUAUCGGAAGGAACACCAAUGGCGAAGGCAGCUUCCUGGACUAAUACUGACACUGAGGCACGAAAGCGUGGGUAGCAAACAGGAUUAGAUACCCUGGUAGUC
rnacentral:rRNA from 1 species